AACCUACAUGGCCCUGUGUGAAAAAGUAAUUGCCCCCUGAACCUAAUAACUGGUUGGGCCACCCUUAGCAGCAAUAACUGCAAUCAAGCGUUUGCGAUAACUUGCAAUGAGUCUUUUACAGCGCUCUGGAGGAAUUUUGGCCCACUCAUCUUUGCAAAAUUGUUGUAAUUCAGCUUUAUUUGAGGGUUUUCUAGCAUGAACCGCCUUUUUAAGGUCAUGCCAUAGCAUCUCAAUUGGAUUCAGGUCAGGACUUUGACUAGGCCACUCCAAAGUCUUCAUUUUGUUUUUCUUCAGCCAUUCAGAGGUGGAUUUGCUGGUGUGUUUUGGGUCAUUGUCCUGUUGCAGCACCCAAGAUCGCUUCAGCUUGAGUUGACGAACAGAAGGCCGGACAUUCUUCUUCAGGAUUUUUUGGUAGACAGUAGAAUUCAUGGUUCCAUCUAUCACAGCAAGCCUUCCAGGUCCUGAAGCAGCAAAACAACCCCAGACCAUCACACUACCACCACCAUAUUUUACUGUUGUUCAACUUUUGUCUCAUCAGUCCACAAGAUAUUUUCCCAAAAGUCUUGGCAAUCAUUGAGAUGUUUCUUAGCAAAAUUGAGACGAGCCCUAAUGUUCUUUUUGCUUAACAGUGGUUUGCGUCUUGGAAAUCUGCCAUGCAGGCCGUUUUUGCCCAGUCUCUUUCUUAUGGUGGAGUCGUGAACACUGACCUUAAUUGAGGCAAGUGAGGCCUGCAGUUCUUUAGACGUUGUCCUGGGGUCUUUUGUGACAUCUCGGAUGAGUCGUCUCUGCGCUCUUGGGGUAAUUUUGGUCGGCCGGCC